UACGGGGGGGGCAAGCGGUGUUCGGAAUUACUGGGCGUAAAGGGCUCGUAGGUGGCCAACUAAGUCAGACGUGAAAUCCCCAGGCUCAACUUGGGAACUGCGUCUGAUACUGGAUGGCUUGAAUUCGGGAGAGGGAUGCAGAAUUCCAGGUGUAGCGGUGAAAUGCGUAGAUAUCUGGAGGAAUACCGGUGGCGAAGGCGGCAUCCUGGACCGAUAUUGACACUGAGGAGCGAAAGCCAGGGGAGCAAACGGG
rnacentral:rRNA from 1 species